rnacentral:rRNA from 1 species
CUUGGUCAUUUAGAGGAAGUAAAAGUCGUAACAAGGUCUCCGUUGGUGAACCAGCGGAGGGAUCAUUACAGAGUUAUCCAACUCCCAAACCCAUGUGAACAUAUCUCUUUGUUGCCUCGGCGCAAGCUACCCGGGACCUCGCGCCCCGGGCGGCCCGCCGGCGGACAAACCAAACUCUGUUAUCUUCGUUGAUUAUCUGAGUGUCUUAUUUAAUAAGUCAAAACUUUCAACAACGGAUCUCUUGGUUCUGGCAUCGAUGAAGACGCAGCGAAAUGCGAUAAGUAAUGUGAAUUGCAGAAUUCAGUGAAUCAUCGAAUCUUUGAACGCACAUUGCGCCCAUUAGUAUUCUAGUGGGCAUGCCUGUUCGAGCGUCAUUUCAACCCCUAAGCACAGCUUAUUGUUGGGCGUCUACGUCUGUAGUGCCUCAAAGACAUUGGCGGAGCGGCAGCAGUCCUCUGAGCGUAGUAAUUCUUUAUCUCGCUUCUGUUAGGCGCUGCCCCCCCGGCCGUAAAACCCCCAAUUUUUUCUGGUUGACCUCGGAUCAGGUAGGAAUACCCGCUGAACUUAAGCAUAUCAAUAAGCGGAG